ACUGCACUUGUACAGUUGCAACAUACAGAGAGAUGGUUUCAGAGGGGAAAUGCUCAUGUUUCCAAUGGGAGGAUAUGAAGCCCACUUUGAUUGAUAGCUAUAGAUGACAAAUGGAUAUCUGAGAGGUAUGCCACCACAACUAGCAAAUAAAGUUAUUAUGUAAUUAAUGGUAUCAUACUAAAGGGUUAUGCUAAAUUAUCAAGAAAGAAAAGUCAACUACAGUAUAUCAAGAGCCGUAGCAGCCGUGGCGGAGCAUGCCGCACCACAUACAGCCAAGCGAAUGAAAGAACCUGAGCGGAGGACUCUAAAACAAGUGAGAUGAGACAAGUUCCUCUGAUUUCAACACUAAAGGUAAUUUAUUAACAAACCCAAAUUCCUGCUUGGCUGACCAACAGACUAAAAGCAAAAGCCUAGCAUAGCAUAGCAGCCUGACGGCCAUAGCAGAGGCGUAGUAGUGGAGUAUGGGCUCUACAGGCUCCAGGUCCAGGCUCAGUCAGGUGGCCCCGUGUCACAGUCAGACAGAGGGAGACCUGGACCAGCAGGCCAGUCAUCCCACUUCACAUUGGACCAUCCCUGCCAUACCAACCCCACUGGAGCAACAACAUCAGCCGCUGGGACAUAGGAGGACUACCCAGCUGCCGCCACUGAAACUGGAAAACCCUGCAACCUUCCCACCACUAUCUACAGCCUCCCACAAAGUCAAAUCAACAUUUGGGGUCCAAAAGCAUCAUUCAUCCUCAGCCACCACGGAGACUACAGGUCAGAACAGGAAGGUUUCACUCAAAUUGUACUACAAACUAUUACUAGCAUUCUUGUUCAACUGUUACUAAAUUCCUAUUUUGUUAUUUUCCUAUCUCUAUGUGAGAUAAAUUGCAUUUCAGUGUAGUGUCAAUUUUGAAUCUGUUUAAAUGGCCUUAUGCUUCAGUUUGAUUUGUUCUCUAUUGUCACAGGGCAGGGACCGGAGAGAUGGGGGUGUCCUCCACUUUUCUACACCCAGCCAGGGGGCACAUGGUGGCACCGGCCGCCAGCCGCAGGUGCAGAUAGAUACUGUAACGGAUUAACAUGCUUAAGUUACUCAGUUGUUAUAAAAGGAAAUGUACGUGUGUAGCAAGAUAGUACUGUGCUUGGUCUGAGAGAGAGAGAGAGAGCGAGAGAGAGAGAGAGAGAGCUGGGGAGCUGCCAGCCCGGGCCCUUCCUGUUCCAGUGGGCCUGACUGCAGUGCUGGUGGGGUGGGCCACAGCCAGCCAUGACUGGCCCUCAAUGGGAUGCUCUUUCAAGGUACGGGGAACAGGAAAAUCCCCACGACCAGGCAAACACACACAAGCAUGUAUGUGGACAUACACUCAUUGGGGUGGCAGGGUAGCCUAGUGGUUAGAGUGUUGGACUAGCAACCGAGAGGUUGCAGGGGUGGCAGGGUAGCCUAGUGGUUAGAGUGUUGGAUUAGCAACCGAGAGGUUGCAGGGUAGCCUAGUGGUUAAAGUGUUGGACUAGCAACCGAGAGGUGGCAGGGUAGCCUAGUGGUUAGAGUGUUGGAUUAGCAACCGAGAGGUUGCAGGGUAGCCUAGUGGUUAAAGUGUUGGACUAGCAACCGUAGAGGUUGCAAGUUCAAAUCCCCGAGCUGACAAAGUACAAAUCUGUUGUUCUGCACCUAAACAGGCAGUUAACCCACUGUUCCUAGGCCAUCAUUGAAAACAAUAAUAUGUUCUUAACUGACUUGCCUAGUUAAAUAAAGGUAUAAAAUGAUUGCUUAGGGCAUGAUCUAGAGAUCAAAAACUUUUCUAUCGCAUAUUUUGGGUGAAUUAUCUGUAACAUAUCGUUGGUGCAUUAUGUGUAUAACAUGGCAUGUGACUAUAUUAUAUUUCAAACAACCAUUUGUUGCUGACCCAUGAAUGGUGUGGUCUUUCUGGCUGUGUGGGUUGGGUUGUGCUGGAUAGGGAGGUCUCCUGGAGGCACAGAUGGUCCUCAGUCAACAGGCCCAGCAGAGACAGAGAGCCCACCGGAGACAAGUCAGAGAACAGCAGGAGCACGAGAGGAUCUUCUAAACAGAUAAUUUUGGAGCACCAAGCAGCAAAGGGAUACAGACACUGCAUCUGCUGAACAGGCCAACGCUAGGGGACAUAUUUUGGGAUUGGAUGACAGAAGAGAGCCUUGCCCUCAGGGAGAUCCUCCAACAAAGACCCCUUCCCCCAGAGCAAGGAGAGAGACAACAGUACCAGCCUGGACCACAACCACUGCACCUGUGUCGGGAUGAGGAGCUGAUCAACAGAGACUUGGCAUGGGGAGGCCUCAGGAGUCCUCACCAGAAAACCAAUACUCUCACAGACAGAGGGAGGGGUGAUGGAUGGUGGACCGACUUUGAGGAAAACCUUACCUUGGAUGCUGGACUGGAAGACAGAGAAACAAGGAGAUCCAGUUCCCAAACACUUGAACUCUUUAGGGGAUAGUGAGAGGGCUAGUAGGUGGGACAUGAGGCCCAGGCCUCUGAUAGACUGGCAGAGGUGGGACAUUGGUUGAAUCAACGUUGUUCCACAUCAUUUCAAUAAAAUUACGUUGAACCAUCAUGGAAUAGACGUUGAAUUGACGUCUGUGCCCAGUGGGCUAUAUCAUGUGGAGAGCGUGAUUUGGGAACCUGAACUGGACUAGGAGCUGUUUAUGAGGUUUAGUAAUCUGGAUUAAACUGGAUCUCCAAUCUCAUGUUGCAAAAUGCUAAUUAACUUUUCAUGGACACUUUAUUUAGAAAAAGCUGAAAUUGUAUCUAAUUUAUUUGGUAAAAUGUUUGCAUUUUACUGUAUGAUCGCAUGGCAAAGUUAAAUGUUGGUUUGUUAUCAAUUACAGUGGCAAGAAAAUGUGAAUCCUUUGGAAUUACCAGGAUUUCUGCAUAAAUUGGUCAUACAAUUUGAUCUGAUCUUUAAAAAAUAAACAUGUAACCUUUAUUUAACUAGGCAAGUCAGUUAAGAACAAAUUCUUAUUUACAGUGACGGCCUACCGGGAACAGUGGGUUAACUGCCUUGUUCAGGGGCAGAACGACAGAUUUUUACCUUGUCAGCUCGGAGAUUCGAUCCAGCAACCUUUCGAUUACUGGCCCAUCUAAGUCACAACAAUAAACAAACACAGUCUGCUUAAACUAAUAACACACAAACAAUUAUAUGUUUUCAUGUCUUUAUUGAACACAGCGUUAACAUUCACAGAGUAGGAUGGGAAAAGUAUGUGAACCCUUGGAUUUAAUAACUGGUUGACCCUCCUUUGGCAGCAAUAAACUCAACCAAACGUUUUCUGUAGUUGCGGAUCAGACCUGCACAACGGUCAGGAGGAAUUUUGAACCAUUCCUCUUCACAACACUGUUUCAGUUCAGCAAUAUUCUUAGGAUGUCUGGUGUGAACCGCUCUCUCGAGGUCUUGCCACAGCAUUUUAAAUCAGGAAGAGGUCAGGACUGACUGGGACACUCCAGAAGGUGUAUUUUCUUCUGUUGUUGAUUUACUUCUGUGUUUUGAGUUGUUGUCCUGAAUCAUCACCCAACAUCUGUUGAGCUUCAAUUGGCAGACAGAUAGCCUAACAUUCUAUUGCAAAAUGUCUUGAUAAACGUGGGAAUUCAUUUUUCCGUCGAUGAUAGCAAGCUGUCCAGGCCCUGAGGCAUCAAAGCAGCCCCAAACCACGAUGCUCCCUCCACCAUAUUUUACAGUUGGGAUGAAGUUUUGAUGUUGUGGUACUGUGCCUUUUUUUCUCCACACAUAGUGAUGAGUGUUCCUUCCAAACAACUCAACUGUAGUUUUAUCUGUCCACAGAAUAUUUUGCCAGUAGAGCUGUGGAACAUCCAGGUGCACUUUUUAAAACUUCAGACGUACAGCAAUGGUUUUUUUGGACAGCAGUGGCUUCUUCCAUGGUGUUCUCCCAUGAACACCAUUCUUGUUUAGUGUUUUACGUAUCAUAGACUUGUCAACAGAGAUCAAAUCAAAUCAAAUGUUAUUUGUCACAUACACAUGGUUAGCAGAUGUUAAUGCGAGUGUCGCGAAAUGCUUGUGCUUCUAGUUCCGAUAAUGCAGUAAUAACCAACAAGUAAUCUAACUAACAAUUCCAAAACUACUGUCUUAUACACAGUGUAAGGGGAUAAAGAAUAUGUACAUAAAGAUAUAUGAAUGAGUGAUGGUACAGAGCAGCAUAGGCAAGAUACAGUAGAUGGUAUCGAGUACAGUAUAUACAUAUGAGAUGAGUAUGUAAACAAAGUGGCAUAGUUAAAGUGGCUAGUGAUGCAUGUAUUACAUAAGGAUGCAGUAGAUGAUAUAGAGUACAGUAUAUACGUAUGCAUAUGAGAUGAAUAAUGUAGGGUAACAUUAUAUAAGGUAGCAUUGUUUAAAGUGGCUAGUGAUAUAUUUUACAUCAUUCCCCAUCAAUUCCCAUUAUUAAAGUGGCUGGAGUUGAGUCAGUGUCAGUGUCAGUGUGUUGGCAGCAGCCACUCAAUGUUAGUGGUGGCUGUUUAACAGUCUGACGGCCUUGAGAUAGAAGCUGUUUUUCAGUCUCUCGAUGUUCGCAUGUUCCAGAGAUUUCUGUAAGUUUUUAGCUGACACUCUAGGAUUCUUCUUAACAUGGAGUAUUCUGCACUGUGCUCUUGCAGUCAUCUUUGCAGGACGGCCACUCCUAGGGAGUAGCAACAGUGCUGAACUUUCUCUAUUUAUAGACAAUUUGUCUUAACAUGGACUGAUGAACAUCAAGGCUUUUAGAGAUACUUCUGUAACCCUUUCCAGCUUUAUGCAACGAUUCUUAAUCUUAAGUCUUCUGAGAUCUCUUUUGUUCGAGGCGUGGUUCACAUCAGGCAAUGCUUCUUGUGAAUAGCAAACUCAAAUUUUGUGAGUAUUUUUUAUAGGGCAGGGCAGCUCUAAUCAACAUCUCCAAUCUCGUCUCACUGAUUGGACUCAAGGUUAACUGACCUUUGACUCCAACUAGCUUUUGGAAAAGUCAUUAGCCUAGGGGUUCACAUACUUUUCCCAACCUACAUUGUGAAUGUUUAAAUGAUGUAUUCAAUACAGACAAGAAAAAUACAAUAAUUUGUGUGUUAUUAGCUUAAACACACUGUGUUUGUCUAUUGUUGUGACUAAGAUGAAGAUCAGAUCCAAUUUCAUAACUAAUUUAUGCAGAAAUCCAGGUAAUUCCAAAGAGUUCACAUACUUUUUCUUGCCACUGUAUGUCAUAACCAAAGUAUUUCAGAAAAUGUGUCCACCACCAGUGUUAAACGAUCACCUGAAUGUAUUCAUAGGAUUGUGACUAGCAGCUGGCAUCCUUACCGUGAUAAAAUGGAUGUUUUGCUGCUUCUGUGUAGAGCUGUUCUCUCUCACCAGAUAAUUGAUCAUUUUGUCACUGUGGUUAAAAUAAGUCUCGUUGUGGGAACCAUUCUGUUUGCCAUGCGUCAGUCUCUUAUUCCAAUAUGUUUGAAGCCACAGUAUGGGGCGCCCUCUAGGGAUGAUCGUGAUAAUCCAGGUGUGGAAAGGACUAACGUGCGUAAUGCAACACCAGUGUAAUGUUCACAAGGUGAGAAAGCACAUUCAAAAUAAUACAUUUGUCUUGUGUCAUCUUCAGAGAGAGAUUGUUUUCUUUUCAAUCUUAAAUAAGUUUUAGGAUUACAUGGUAUUGAGAUUUAGGGGUGGCAGGUAGCCUCGUGGUUUGAGUGUUGGGCCAGUAACUGAAAGGUUGUUGGAUCAAAUCUCUGCGCUGACAAGGUAAAAAUCUGUCAUUCUGCCCUUGAAUAAGGCAGUUAGCCCACUGUCAUUGUAAAUAAGAAUUUGUUGUUAACUGACUUGCCUAGUUAAAAAAAGAUAGUACUUUUCAAUGAACCAAAGUGGCUUUAA